rnacentral:rRNA from 2 species
CCUGAUAACAUUAGCGAGUUGGUACCACCUGAUCCCAUCUCGAACUCAGUAGUGAAACGACUUAGCGCCGAUGGUAGUGUGGGAGUUCCCAUGUGAGAGUAGGACAUUGUCAGGC